CGAUGAAGGAGGAGCUUGCUCCUCCGGAUUAGUGGCGAACGGGUGAGUAAUACGUGAGCAAUGUGCCCUUGACUCUGGGAUAAGCGCUGGAAACGGCGUCUAAUACCGGAUACGACCCUCGGAGGCAUCUCCUGAUGGUGGAAAGAACUUCGGUCAAGGAUCAGCUCACGGCCUAUCAGCUAGUUGGUGAGGUAACGGCUCACCAAGGCGACGACGGGUAGCCGGCCUGAGAGGGUGACCGGCCACACUGGGACUGAGACACGGCCCAGACUCCUACGGGAGGCAGCAGUGGGGAAUAUUGCACAAUGGGCGCAAGCCUGAUGCAGCAACGCCGCGUGAGGGACGAAGGCCUUCGGGUUGUAAACCUCUUUUAGCAGGG
rnacentral:rRNA from 1 species